ACCUGGCUGGCUCAGUCGAUAGAGCACGUGACUUUUGAUCUUGGGUUCAUGAGUUUGAGCCCCAUGCUGGGUG
rnacentral:tRNA from 1 species